rnacentral:rRNA from 1 species
AUACGGAGGGUGCAAGCGUUAUCCGGAUUUAUUGGGUUUAAAGGGUGCGUAGGUGGCGUGUUAAGUCAGUGGUGAAAGCCUGCAGCUCAACUGUAGAGGUGCCAUUGAUACUGACAUGCUUGAGUAUGGACGAGGUAGGCGGAAUUUGUGGUGUAGCGGUGAAAUGCAUAGAUACCACAAAGAACACCGAUAGCGAAGGCAGCUUACUGGACCAUAACUGACACUGAGGCACGAAAGUGUGGGUAGCGAACAGGAUUAGAAACCCUUGUAGUCC